CCUGGCUCCGUCGAACGCUGGCGGCGCGCCUAACACAUGCAAGUCGAACGAGAGAGAAGGAGCUUGCUUCUUCGAUCGAGUGGCGAACGGGUGAGUAACGCGUGAGGAACCUGCCUCAAAGAGGGGGACAACAGUUGGAAACGACUGCUAAUACCGCAUAAGCCCACGGGUCGGCAUCGACCUGAGGGAAAAGGAGCAAUCCGCUUUGAGAUGGCCUCGCGUCCGAUUAGCUAGUUGGUGAGGUAACGGCCCACCAAGGCGACGAUCGGUAGCCGGACUGAGAGGUUGAACGGCCACAUUGGGACUGAGACACGGCCCAGACUCCUACGGGAGGCAGCAGUGGGGAAUAUUGCACAAUGGGGAAACCCUGAUGCAGCGACGCCGCGUGGAGGAAGAAGGUCUUCGGAUUGUAAACUCCUGUUGUUGAGGAAGAUAAUGACGGUACUCAACAAGGAAGUGACGGCUAACUACGUGCCAGCAGCCGCGGUAAAACGUAGGUCACAAGCGUUGUCCGGAAUUACUGGGUGUAAAGGGAGCGCAGGCGGGAAGACAAGUUGGAAGUGAAAUCUAUGGGCUCAACCCAUAAACUGCUUUCAAAACUGUUUUUCUUGAGUAGUGCAGAGGUAGGCGGAAUUCCCGGUGUAGCGGUGGAAUGCGUAGAUAUCGGGAGGAACACCAGUGGCGAAGGCGGCCUACUGGGCACCAACUGACGCUGAGGCUCGAAAGUGUGGGUAGCAAACAGGAUUAGAUACCCUGGUAGUCCACACCGUAAACGAUGAUUACUAGGUGUUGGAGGAUUGACCCCUUCAGUGCCGCAGUUAACACAAUAAGUAAUCCACCUGGGGAGUACGACCGCAAGGUUGAAACUCAAAGGAAUUGACGGGGGCCCGCACAAGCAGUGGAGUAUGUGGUUUAAUUCGACGCAACGCGAAGAACCUUACCAAGUCUUGACAUCCCUUGACGAACAUAGAAAUAUGUUUUCUCUUCGGAGCAAGGAGACAGGUGGUGCAUGGUUGUCGUCAGCUCGUGUCGUGAGAUGUUGGGUUAAGUCCCGCAACGAGCGCAACCCUUAUGGUCAGUUACUACGCAAGAGGACUCUGGCCAGACUGUCGUUGACAAAACGGAGGAAGGUGGGGAUGACGUCAAAUCAUCAUGCCCUUUAUGACUUGGGCUACACACGUACUACAAUGGCGUUAAACAAAGAGAAGCGAGACCGCGAGGUGGAGCAAAACUCAGAAACAACGUCCCAGUUCGGACUGCAGGCUGCAACUCGCCUGCACGAAGUCGGAAUUGCUAGUAAUCGUGGAUCAGCAUGCCACGGUGAAUACGUUCCCGGGCCUUGUACACACCGCCCG
rnacentral:rRNA from 1 species